UAUCACUCCCAUCCACUUUCAAUCUGAUUAAAGCACAACUCAGAGAAAGAUGAUUUUAGGACAUUGGAUUUUAUUUGGACUCAUUUCAUAUUCUUAUGGACAGUCCCUGACCUCCUCUGCUUCUGUUGUGAAGAGACCUGGAGAGUCAGUCACUCUGUCCUGUACUGUCUCUGGAUACUCAGUGGGCAGUUACUGGAUGCACUGGAUCCGUCAGAAACCAGGACGAGGACUGGAGUGGAUUGGACGCAUUGACACUGGCACUAGCACAGCAUUCGCUCAGUCUCUGCAGGGCCAGUUCUCCAUCACUAAAGACACCAAUAAAAACAUGCUGUAUCUAGAAGUGAAGAGUCUGAAAGCUGAAGACACGGCUGUUUAUUACUGUGCACGAGACUCACACUAAUACAACAGACUGCAGAGCUGUACAACAACUUACACAAACACGUCCUCAUGAGCUGUAAAUAUUCCCUCAGCAGGAAACUGAACCCCACAGACAUUUAUUAUAAACAAAAGGGGUUUUAUUUCUUUUCUCUUCCUCCAUUUACAGUAAAAUUCCUCUGUAAAAUGCUCAGUUUCUUUCUUUUUAUUAUCUCUGGCUGGUGCUUAAAGCUGAAGACAAACCUGAAACCAAAAUUAAGUAAAAGCAAAGACAUUGUUUAAAAUGAAGAUGUUACAGAUGUCUUAUAUCAGUGUGUCAUGAAACCAGGCUGAAUAAUCAAAAUUUUUUGAUGUUGAAAUGAAGUCUGUCUUUACUUCUGCUGCAUCUUUAUGAAAAUCUAAACCCUGCAAAUCAAAAUUGAUUCAAAAUAUUUGGAGUAUAUUUAGUAUCUAAUCCUUGUUGUGAGUUUCUCUAUAUGUGCAAU